rfam:uncultured archaeon A07HR60 genomic scaffold scf7180000001779, whole genome shotgun sequence.
CGGUAACUCCGAGUCCUGCAACGGAUAGGAGUAACGGCUGUUUGGCACAGCCAUCGGUACGCCUGUUCGACAAAUCGACGGGGAGAAUCGCCCCACAAGAACAGGUCGUUCCGGAGACCACAAUAUCCCAACGGCGGUCGGGAAUCCCUCGGCUUCAGCCGUGGGA